rnacentral:tRNA from 1 species
GUCACCGUCUGGCCGGGUGGCGACGGCACGGCCGGUGGCGGCGGCCACUACGGCUCGUACGGCUCGGACGCGGGGGUCCC